GCCGCGGUGGUGUAGUGGUAUCACGCUGCUCUCACAAACUGGCUUGUCUUCAGACUUGCUAGACUCCCGACGUCGUAAGCCCACCUUUGGAAUCACCUUAACGAACCGGCGGAGUAGCAGAGGCGCGAGUUCGAUUCUCGCCCGCGGCA